rnacentral:rRNA from 1 species
GACGAACGCUGGCGGCGUGCUUAACACAUGCAAGUCGAACGGAAAGGCCCUGCUUGCAGGGUACUCGAGUGGCGAACGGGUGAGUAACACGUGGGUGAUCUGCCCUGCACUUCGGGAUAAGCCUGGGAAACUGGGUCUAAUACCGGAUAGGAGCCAUUUUUAGUGUGAUGGUUGGAAAGUUUUUUCGGUGUAGGAUGAGCUCGCGGCCUAUCAGCUUGUUGGUGGGGUAAUGGCCUACCAAGGCGGCGACGGGUAGCCGGCCUGAGAGGGUGGACGGCCACACUGGGACUGAGAUACGGCCCAGACUCCUACGGGAGGCAGCAGUGGGGAAUAUUGCACAAUGGGCGCAAGCCUGAUGCAGCGACGCCGCGUGGGGGAUGACGGCCUUCGGGUUGAAAACUCCUUUCGCUAGGGACGAAGCUUUUUGUGACGGUACCUAGAGAAGAAGCACCGGCUAACUACGUG